CCUACGGGUGGCAGCAGUGAGGAAUAUUUGUCAAUGGGCGCGAGCCUGAACCAGCCACGUCGCGUGAGGGAAGACGGUCCUAUGGAUUGUAAACCUCUUUUGUCGGGGAGCAAAAGACGCCACGCGUGGCGUUCCGCGAGUACCCGAAGAAAAAUCAUCGGCUAACUCCGUGCCAGCCGCCGCGGUAAUACGUAGGCUGCGAGCGUUAUCCGGAUUUAUUGGUGUUAAAGGUUUCGCAGGCGGAAGAUCAAGUCAGCGGUAAAAUUGAGAGGCUCAACCUCUUCGAGCCGGUGAAACUGGUUUUCUUGAGUGAGCGAGAAGUAGGCGGAAUGCGUGGUGUAGCGGUGAAAUGCAUAGAUAUCAAGCAGAACUCCGAUUGCGAAGGCAGCAUACCGGCGCUCAACUGACGCUCAUGCACGAAAGUGUGGGUAUCGAACAGGAUUAGAUACCCGGGUAGUC
rnacentral:rRNA from 1 species